UACGAAGGGUGCAAGCGUUACUCGGAAUUACUGGGCGUAAAGCGUGCGUAGGUGGUUCGUUAAGUCUGAUGUGAAAGCCCUGGGCUCAACCUCGGAAAGGCAGUGGAAACUGAACAGCUAGAGUAUGGUAGGGGCAAAGGGAAUUCCUGGUGUAGCGGUGAAAUGCGUAGAGAUCAGGAAGAACAUCGGUGGCGAAGGCGCUUUGCUGGACCAUAACUGACACUCAGGGACGAAAGCUAGGGGAGCGAAUGGG
rnacentral:rRNA from 1 species